CCUACGGGAGGCAGCAGUAGGGAAUAUUGGGCAAUGGACGCAAGUCUGACCCAGCCAUGCCGCGUGCAGGAAGAAGGCGUUAUGCGUUGUAAACUGCUUUUAUACAGGAAGAAACGACUCUUGCGAGAGGCAUUGACGGUACUGUAUGAAUAAGCACCGGCUAACUCCGUGCCAGCAGCCGCGGUAAUACGGAGGGUGCAAGCGUUGUCCGGAUUUAUUGGGUUUAAAGGGUGCGCAGGUGGUUUAUUAAGUCAGUGGUGAAAGACGGUCGCUCAACGAUUGCAGUGCCAUUGAAACUGGUAGACUUGAGUAAAGUAGAGGUGGGCGGAAUUGAUAGUGUAGCGGUGAAAUGCAUAGAUAUUAUCAAGAACUCCAAUUGCGAAGGCAGCUCACUUGGCUUUUACUGACACUCAUGCACGAAAGUGUGGGUAUCAAACAGGAUUAGAUACCCUGGUAGUCCACACUGUAAACGAUGAUAACUGGGUGUCGGCCGAAUCUGGUCGGUGCCGCAGNGAGAGUAGUUAUCUCGUGGUUGAGCGCGACGAGACGANANAGAGUUAGAGGNGNGAGAGNGCGACGGACGACGACGAGGGAGGAGG
rnacentral:rRNA from 1 species